rnacentral:SRP_RNA from 1 species
GCCGGGCGUGGUGGCAUGCACCUGUAAUCCCAGCUACUCAGGAGGCUGAGGCAGGAGAAUCGCUUGAACCCAGGAGAUGGAGGUUGCAGUGAGCCAAGAUUGUACCACUGCACUCCAGCCUGGGUGACAGAGCGAGACUCUGUCUCAA